GGGCGAUUAGCUCAGUUGGUUAGAGCGCCACCUUUACACGGUGGAUGUCGGGGGUUCGAGUCCCUCAUCGCCCACCG
rnacentral:tRNA from 1 species